CGAAAUAGUUAAUUUGCAUUUCUUAUAUUCAUGGCAGCUUAUUUCAAAAAAUAAUGAUGGAAAUAAAGAAAUUCAAAUAUUUCAAAAUUCUAACUGAUGAAACCCUUUACCCAAAACUGAAGUCCUAUACCCUAAAUGCAAACCGUAUACUUUAAAUCCAAAAUAUAUAUCCCUAGACCCUUAACUCUAAACCUUAAAUCCAAACCCUAUACCCUAAACCCAAGUCCUAUACCGUAAAUCCAAACCGUAUACUUUGAAUCCAAAUUCUAAACCCUAAACCGAAACCGUUAAUUUUAAAUCCAAAUGUAUAUAUACUGGUCUAACUCCUAAACCCUAAUCCCAAAUCGUAUACAAUAAACCCAAAUCUUAGACUUAAAAUCGAAACCGUAAACCCUAAACCCAAACCCAAGUAUUCAACAAAAUUAGCAUGAAGGAAACAUUUGAAAACUUUCGGUUGAAUAUAGGGGAAUUUUACAUAUGGGCCUGCGUAAAAAUCAAUUAAACCCAAUAUCUGUAAAACGUGCUUGGAAAAUAGUAUCUUUAAAGUAAUAUUUAGUAUGUUUCAUGUCCUAAUUACGAAAAUCUAAAUAUAAUUUUGUAUUUUCAAUAAAAACUUUUGAUGUAUUUAAAAGGUUUUUUAAGUCAGUGACUGCUUUUAUAUUUAAAAGGUUUUUGUGAUAUAUUAGCUAAGUGAAGGCCAAAUGAUGAACAAAAUCAUAACUUUUUUUCACUAACACCACAAAUAAGUGCUAAUUAAUAUCACAAAAUACUCUUUAAGUACAUCGAAACUACACUGACUGAACACACAAGAUCAGCAAAGACUGUUUAUAAAUCAUUGAAACACAUUGUUCAACAAUCAAAAUAUCAUAUAUUGCAAUGAUCCAUGCAAAUAUAAAAUCAGUUCAUCAAUUGAAUACAAUAAGUUGAAGC
rnacentral:lncRNA from 1 species